rnacentral:rRNA from 1 species
AGUGAACGCUGGCGGUAGGCCUAACACAUGCAAGUCGAACGGCAGCACAGUAAGAACUUGCUCUUACGGGUGGCGAGUGGCGGACGGGUGAGGAAUACAUCGGAAUCUACUUUUUCGUGGGGGAUAACGUAGGGAAACUUACGCUAAUACCGCAUACGACCUACGGGUGAAAGCAGGGGAUCUUCGGACCUUGCGCGAUUGAAUGAGCCGAUGUCGGAUUAGCUAGUUGGCGGGGUAAAGGCCCACCAAGGCGACGAUCCGUAGCUGGUCUGAGAGGAUGAUCAGCCACACUGGAACUGAGACACGGUCCAGACUCCUACGGGAGGCAGCAGUGGGGAAUAUUGGACAAUGGGCGCAAGCCUGAUCCAGCCAUACCGCGUGGGUGAAGAAGGCCUUCGGGUUGUAAAGCCCUUUUGUUGGGAAAGAAAAGCAGCAGGUUAAUACCCCGAUGUUCUGACGGUACCCAAAGAAUAAGCACCGGCUAACUUCGUG